CCUACGGGAGGCAGCAGUGGGGAAUAUUGGGCAAUGGGCGCAAGCCUGACCCAGCCAUGCCGCGUGCAGGAAGAAGGCUCUCGGAUUGUAAACCUCUUUUAUCAGGGACGAAGCAAGUGACGGUACCUGAUGACUAAGCCUCGGCUAACUACGUGCCUGCAGCCGCGGUAAUACGGAGGUGGCAAGCGUUAUCCGGAUUUACUGGGUGUAAAGGGCGUGUAGGCGGGAGUGCAAGUCAGAUGUGAAAACUAUGGGCUCAACCCAUCGACUGCAUUUGAUACUGUACUUCUUGAGUGCUGGUGAGGCAAUCGGAAUGCCGUGUGUAGCGGUGAAAUGCGUAGAGAUACGGAGGAACACCAGUGGCGAAGGCGGAUUGCUGGACAGUAACUGACGUUGAGGCGCGAAAGCGUGGGGAGCAAACAGGAUUAGAUACCCGAGUAGUC
rnacentral:rRNA from 1 species